rnacentral:rRNA from 1 species
AGCAGCCGCGGUAAUUCCAGCCCCAAUAGCGUAUAUUAAAGUUGUUGCAGUUAAAAAGCUCGUAGUUGAAUUUCGGGAUUGACACAUCGGUCGUGCCUUAAGGGGUAUGAACUGGUGUAGUCAAUUUCUCACCUUCUGGAGAACCGCAAUGCCCUUAAUUGGGUGUCGCGGGGAACCAGGACCUUUACUUUGAAAAAUUAGAGUGUUUAAAGCAGGCAUUUUGCUUGAAUACAUUAGCAUGGAAUAAUAAAAUAGGACGGCAUGAUUCUAUUUUGUUGGUUUCUAGGAUCACCGUAAUGAUUAAUAGGGAUAGUUGGGGGCAUUAGUAUUCAAUUGUCAGAGGUGAAAUUCUUGGAUUUAUUGAAGACUAACUACUGCGAAAGCAUUUGCCAAGGAUGUUUUCAUUAAUCAAGAACGAAAGUUAGGGGAUCGAAGACGAUCAGAUACCGU